rnacentral:rRNA from 1 species
GGAUUGUAGUCUGCAACCCGACUACAUGAAGCUGGAAUCGCUAGUAAUCGCGGAUCAGAAUGCCGCGGUGAAUACGUUCCCGGGUCUUGUACACACCGCCCGUCACACCAUGGGAGUCGGAAAUGCCCGAAGUCGGUGACCGAACCGAAAGGAAGGAGCCGCCGAAGGCAGGUCUGGUGACUGGGGUGAAGUCGUAACAAGGUAUC